GGCGGCGGGCGGGGGCGGGCCAUGGCCUUGCUGCUGUGCCUGGGCAUGACGGCGGCGCUGGCCGGCGGCUGCCUGCACUGCCACGGGAACUUCUCGGAGAAGUUCUCCUUCUACCGCAACCACGUGAACCUCAAGUCCUGGUGGGUGGGCGACAUCCCCGUGUCGGGCGCGCUGCUCACCGACUGGAGCCGGGACACGAUGAAGGAGCUGCGCCUGGCCAUCCCCGCCGAGAUCACCCGGGCGAAGCUGGACCAAGUGGCGACAGCGGUGUACCAGAGGAUGGAUCAGCUGUACCAGGGGAAGAUGUACUUCCCGGGGUAUUUCCCCAGCGAGCUGCGGGCCAUCUUCCGGGAGCAGGUGCACCUCCUGCAGAACGCCAUCAUCGAGAGCCGCAUCGACUGUCAGCGCCACUGUGGCAUCUUCCAGUACGAGACGGUCUCCUGCGGCAACUGCACCGACUCGCACGUCGUCUGCUUCGGCUACAACUGCGAGUCCUCGGCGCAGUGGGAGACGGCGGUGAAGGGGCUCCUUGCCUACCUAAAUAACUGGCACAAGUAAGUCCCCCUCCCCCGCCCACGGCGGUGAGUACCGGGCCCCCGGGCACCGUGGGGGUCGGAGGGCCUGGCUGGAGGGUCCCUGUGGUGUCCGUUCCUGCCCCGAGCUGUGGGCAGAGCCCCAGUGGCCAGGCCCUAGGGCCACGGAGGCACAGCCUCAGCCCCAUAGGCUGGGGUCUGACCUGGGCCCCGUGGUCUUUCAGCCAGGACAUAAACACGAGAACCACCCCAGCCUUCCUGGUGUCACCGAGCCUCCCGUGCCUGGAGCCCCAGCACCUGGCCAACCUGACCCUGGAGAACGCCUCCAAGUGCCUGACCCAGCACUGACGGCCGGGCCCUGCCGGCCCGCGCCUGCUCCUGCUGCAGGCUCGCUGCGGCCCCCGCCCCGGCCCCGGCCCCGGCCCC